UACAGAGGGGGCAAGCGUUGUUCGGAAUUACUGGGCGUAAAGGGCGCGUAGGCGGCCUUCUAAGUCGAACGUGAAAUCCCCGGGCUCAACCCGGGAACUGCGUCCGAUACUGGAAGGCUUGAAUCCGGGAGAGGGAUGCGGAAUUCCAGGUGUAGCGGUGAAAUGCGUAGAUAUCGGAAGGAACAUCAGUGGCGAAAGCGACUUCCUGGACCAAUACUGACGCUCAUGUGCGAAAGCGUGGGGAGCAAACAGG
rnacentral:rRNA from 2 species